CCUACGGGAGGCAGCAGUGGGGAAUUUUGGACAAUGGGCGCAAGCCUGAUCCAGCAAUGCCGCGUGCAGGAUGAAGGCCUUCGGGUUGUAAACUGCUUUUGUACGGAACGAAAAAGUCUGCCCUAAUACGGUGGGCCCAUGACGGUACCGUAAGAAUAAGCACCGGCUAACUACGUGCCAGCAGCCGCGGUAAUACGUAGGGUGCGAGCGUUAAUCGGAAUUACUGGGCGUAAAGCGUGCGCAGGCGGUUAUAUAAGACAGAUGUGAAAUCCCCGGGCUCAACCUGGGACCUGCAUUUGUGACUGUAUAGCUAGAGUACGGUAGAGGGGGAUGGAAUUCCGCGUGUAGCAGUGAAAUGCGUAGAUAUGCGGAGGAACACCGAUGGCGAAGGCAAUCCCCUGGACCUGUACUGACGCUCAUGCACGAAAGCGUGGGGAGCAAACAGGAUUAGAUACCCUGGUAGUCCACGCCCUAAACGAUGUCAACUGGUUGUUGGGUCUUCACUGACUCAGUAACGAAGCUAACGCGNGAGUGCGCGNGGNGCGGCGCGAGUAGACGUACGAAGAGUAGNGCGNGAGAGNGCGACGACGACGACGAGGGAGGAGG
rnacentral:rRNA from 1 species